rnacentral:lncRNA from 1 species
UCCUUUUUGGAAGCAUCAUAGCAAGUGUGUUUUUCAGGCUUUAUCCUCUACAGCUAAUGCAGUUUUGGUUAGCCCAAGUCACCUGAGCUGAACCAUGCCCUUCUGAAAAUACUUUUUAAGGUUAAGCAUUACUUAUUUGAAUAAUUACAGAAAUAAUUGCCAGAGGACUUUGAAGGCUGAAGCAUUAUCUGCCUGUGUGAAAAGGAAAUGGCCUAUGUGCUUCUGAGAAUUUUUAUGUUAGCUUCACAAUUAAUUUCUCUUCCUGGAUUACAAAUGAAGAACCUGCACAGGCUUUUGGCAAUUUUGGAUAUAUUUUCUCCUGUGUGUGUAGUGGGACUAGGAUGUUCUGAGCAUAUUUUUGACCGUUUUUCUGUGAGUUCAAAGGGCGUUUCACUAGGGGAAAAAAAACACAACACCGUUAUCAGGAGAAAAUCUGUAUUUUCAUCAGCAUUAGAGCAGAGUGCAUCUCCACUGCCCACAUGCGAAAGAAUGUUUAUAUAAAGG